rfam:Stegodyphus mimosarum contig87766, whole genome shotgun sequence.
GCGUCGGUGGUAUAACGGUUAGCAUAGCUACCUUCCAAGCAGUUGACCCGGGUUCGACUCCCGGCCGACGCA